rnacentral:rRNA from 1 species
GGCUCAGAUUGACGGCNGGCGGCAUGCCUUACACAUGCAAGUCGAACGCGAAAGGGGGGCAACCCCCGAGUAGAGUGGCGAACGGGUGAGUAAUACAUCGGAACGUGUCCAGUAGCGGGGGAUAACCUCUCGAAAGAGAGGCUAAUACCGCAUACGACCUACGGGUGAAAGCAGGGGAUCGCAAGACCUUGCACUAUUGGAGCGGCCAAUGUCGGAUUAGCUAGUUGGCGGGGUAACGGCCCACCAAGGCUACGAUCCGUAGCUGGUCUGAGAGGACGACCAGCCACACUGGAACUGAGACACGGUCCAGACUCCUACGGGAGGCAACAGUGGGGAAUUUUGGACAAUGGGGGCAACCCUGAUCCAGCCAUGCCGCGUGGGUGAAGAAGGCCUUCGGGUUGUAAAGCCCUUUCGGUGGGGACGAAACGGUGCGUGCUAACACCACGCACUAAUGACGGUACCCACAGAAGAAGCACCGGCUAACUACGUGCCAGCAGCCGCGGUAAUACGUAGGGUGCAGGCGUUAAUCGGAAUUACUGGGCGUAAAGCGUGCGCAGGCGGUUUGCUAAGACAGGUGUGAAAUCCCCGGGCUUAACCUGGGAACUGCGCUUGUAACUGGCAAGCUGGAGUGUGGCAGAGGGGGGUGGAAUUCCACGUGUAGCAGUGAAAUGCGUAGAGAUGUGGAGGAACACCGAUGGCGAAGGCAGCCCCCUGGGCUAACACUGACGCUCAUGCACGAAAGCGUGGGGAGCAAACAGGAUUAGAUACCCUGGUAGUCCACGCCCUAAACUAUGUCAACUGGUUGUCGGGGAAGCAAUUCCUUGGUACGAAGCUAACGCGUGAAAGUGACCGCCUGGGGA